UGGGCAACCUGCCCCUCUCUCUGGGAUAACCCCGGGAAACCGGAGCUAAUACCGGAUACUCCGGCUGGAUCGCAUGGUCCGGCCGGGAAAGGUCCGCCGGAGAGGGAUGGGCCCGCGGCCUAUCAGCUUGUUGGUGAGGUCACGGCUCACCAAGGCUACGACGGGUAGCUGGUCUGAGAGGACGACCAGCCACACUGGAACUGAGAUACGGUCCAGACUCCUACGGGAGCA
rnacentral:rRNA from 1 species